rnacentral:rRNA from 1 species
GUGAGGAAUAUUGCACAAUGGGGGAAACCCUGAUGCAGCAACGCCGCGUGAAGGAUGAAGGCUUUCGAGUUGUAAACUUCUUUUCUGGGGGAAGAGGAAGGACGGUACCCUAGGAAUAAGACACGGCUAACUACGUGCCAGCAGCCGCGGUAAUACGUAGGUGUCGAGCGUUAUCCGGAAUUACUGGGCGUAAAGGGCACGCAGGCGGCUGUUCAAGUUCGACGUGAAAUCUCCUGGCUUAACCGGGAGAAGCCGUUGGAAACUGAAUGGCUUGAGGCAAUGAGAGGGAUGCGGAAUUCCCGGUGUAGUGGUGGAAUGCGUAGAUAUCGGGAAGAACACCAGUGGCGAAAGCGGCAUCCUGGCAUUGGCCUGACGCUCAUGUGCGAAAGCGUGGGUAGCGAACGGGAUUAGAUACCCGUGUAGUCC